CGGAUCUCUUAGGGGGUGCCUAUGAGUGGGAAGUCGUUAGAAAUCGCGACGAAUAGUAAUACCUCGUAGGAGACAAAGAAAGUGAAUUGCGGGUUAACCGAUGAUACCCAGACUAAAGAAGAACCUGGCUACAACCUCUGAGCUCUUCAUUCUCUCAAUAGACUGCAGAAUGGGUUUCCCCGUUGAGUCGAAGUCCAAGGCUGAGUGUCCAAGGAACUCCUGGAGAAGAAAGUUUGCAGAUGGAUGAAUGAAAAGCCCGCUAAAGGUGGAUGCAGCAGCUUCAUGCUCCUCAAAGCACUGAAGGAGCACAUUUUCUUUCGGGGAUGCUGAGGACCUGUAUUCCUACCAUGAGUGAGCAGACUAAUUUGAAGCUGUGAACUGAUGGUGUUUAAACUAGGCCCAGGAGAUGGAGAUUGCUCCUCUAGGAUCUAAAAGCCCCUCUGCUCUGUGCUCCUGCAUAGAACAACUCCAUUGAUGCAGCAGCUUCAUCAUGCUUCUUAAAACACUGAAGGAGCACAUUGUCAUUUGGGACUGCUGAGACCUGUAUUCCUACCAUGAGUGAGCAGACUAAUCUGAAGCUGUGAACUGAUGGUGUUUAAACUAGGCCCAGGAGAUGGAGACUGCUCUUCUAGCUUGUCAACACGCUGCCAGAAAGGAGUCGGCAUGCUGUUUCCACAGCUGUAAGACUGAAGCAACCAAGCUGGAAUACAUUUGGACACAAUGAAUUGACCAGGUGCUGCAACUUGUGUGUUUGGACCGCCACAAGCUUCAGAGGUGGUCAAUGUAUAACCAUCCAGGAAGGAAGCCUUUGUAACUUAUGGGAUACAUUGUCAUUCAUUUUAAAGGUCCAGUGUGUAGGAUUUGAUGGAUCUGUUGGAAGAACUGGAAUAUAAGUGUUUUCAUUUGUGUGUAAUCACCAGAAAAUAAGAAUUGUUUUCAUUGCCUUAGAAUAAGCUCUUAAGAGGGGUCUCCUGUCUGCACAAAGCCCCCCACUAAUGAAAUGGCUUUAGCGCUUGACGUGCUUAAGAAGUUUCAAAUAAAUGGUUAACAACACAGACUCAAGGCUGUUUUAUAUUCUUGUCAGUGAUGAGACAUUGAUUGCAAUAAACUGAAAGUAAAAGCUG